CCUACGGGAGGCAGCAGUGAGGAAUAUUGGUCAAUGGACGAGAGUCUGAACCAGCCAAGUAGCGUGAAGGAUGACUGUCCUAUGGGUUGUAAACUUCUUUUAUCAAGGAAUAAAAAGAGGCACGCGUGCCUUUUUGCAUGUACUUUAUGAAUAAGGAUCGGCUAACUCCGUGCCAGCAGCCGCGGUAAUACGGAGGAUCCGAGCGUUAUCCGGAUUUAUUGGGUUUAAAGGGAGCGGAGAGGGGUUGUUAAGUCAGUUGUGAAAGACUGAGGCUCAACCGGAAAAUUGCAGUUGAUACUGGCAGUCUUGAGUACAGUUGAGGUAGGCGGAAUGCGUGGUGUAGCGGUGAAAUGCAUAGAUAUCGCGAAGAACCCCGAUUGCGAAGGCAGCAUACUAAACUGUAACUGACAUUGAGGCACGAAAGUGUGGGUAUCGAACAGGAUUAGAUACCCUAGUAGUC
rnacentral:rRNA from 1 species